CACGUAGGGUGCGAGCGUUGUCCGGAAUUAUUGGGCGUAAAGAGCUCGUAGGCGGUGUGUCGCGUCGGCCGUGAAAACCUGCAGCUUAACUGUGGGCUUGCGGUCGAUACGGGCAUCACUGGAGUUCGGCAGGGGAGACUGGAAUUCCUGGUGUAGCGGUGAAAUGCGUAGAUAUCUGGAGGAACACCGGUGGCGAAGGCGGCAUCCUGGACCGGCAUUGACGCUGAGGCGCGAAAGCUAGGGGAGCAAACGGG
rnacentral:rRNA from 1 species